rnacentral:rRNA from 1 species
AAAUUGAAGAGUUUGAUCAUGGCUCAGAUUGAACGCUGGCGGCAGGCCUAACACAUGCAAGUCGAACGGUAGCACAGAGAGCUUGCUCUCGGGUGACGAGUGGCGGACGGGUGAGUAAUGUCUGGGAAACUGCCCGAUGGAGGGGGAUAACUACUGGAAACGGUAGCUAAUACCGCAUAACGUCGCAAGACCAAAGUGGGGGACCUUCGGGCCUCACACCAUCGGAUGUGCCCAGAUGGGAUUAGCUAGUAGGUGGGGUAACGGCUCACCUAGGCGACGAUCCCUAGCUGGUCUGAGAGGAUGACCAGCCACACUGGAACUGAGACACGGUCCAGACUCCUACGGGAGGCAGCAGUGGGGAAUAUUGCACAAUGGGCGCAAGCCUGAUGCAGCCAUGCCGCGUGUAUGAAGAAGGCCUUCGGGUUGUAAAGUACUUUCAGCGAGGAGGAAGGCGUUGUGGUUAAUAACCACAGCGAUUGACGUUACUCGCAGAAGAAGCACCGGCUAACUCCGUGCCAGCAGCCGCGGUAAUACGGAGGGUGCAAGCGUUAAUCGGAAUUACUGGGCGUAAAGCGCACGCAGGCGGUUUGUUAAGUCAGAUGUGAAAUCCCCGGGCUCAACCUGGGAACUGCAUUUGAAACUGGCAAGCUUGAGUCUCGUAGAGGGGGGUAGAAUUCCAGGUGUAGCGGUGAAAUGCGUAGAGAUCUGGAGGAAUACCGGUGGCGAAGGCGGCCCCCUGGACAAAGACUGACGCUCAGGUGCGAAAGCGUGGGGAGCAAACAGGAUUAGAUACCCUGGUAGUCCACGCCGUAAACGAUGUCUACUUGGAGGUUGUGCCCUUGAGGCGUGGCUUCCGGAGCUAACGCGUUAAGUAGACCGCCUGGGGAGUACGGCCGCAAGGUUAAAACUCAAAUGAAUUGACGGGGGCCCGCACAAGCGGUGGAGCAUGUGGUUUAAUUCGAUGCAACGCGAAGAACCUUACCUGGUCUUGACAUCCACGGAAGUUUUCAGAGAUGAGAAUGUGCCUUCGGGAACCGUGAGACAGGUGCUGCAUGGCUGUCGUCA